GGAAGGGCCUCUGAUGGGAGAUCCUCUCCUCUGUGGGCUUUUCUUCUGUGAGCCCAGAUGGUUGGAGCUGGGGCUGCUGCUGAAUUAUUUAGAUGAGGAAUGGGUGUUCUGACAGCAAGAAUUAUGGUAAAGACUUGAGAUUUACAAGGCAGGUUCAGAGGCAUCUAGAAGCAGUGGAAAAAAUAAACAAGAGGAGACAGAGCAGGAAGACUUCACACUGUGGUUCUGGGGCAAGCAGUUCGUGGGCUCUCUGGGCAGCGUACAGCUG